GAUGAACGCUGGCGGCGUGCCUAAUACAUGCAAGUCGAGCGAACGGACGAGAAGCUUGCUUUUCUGAUGUUAGCGGCGGACGGGUGAGUAACACGUGGAUAACCUACCUAUAAGACUGGGAUAACUUCGGGAAACCGGAGCUAAUACCGGAUAAUAUUUUGAACCGCAUGGUUCAAAAGUGAAAGACGGUCUUGCUGUCACUUAUAGAUGGAUCCGCGCUGCAUUAGCUAGUUGGUAAGGUAACGGCUUACCAAGGCAACGAUGCAUAGCCGACCUGAGAGGGUGAUCGGCCACACUGGAACUGAGACACGGUCCAGACUCCUACGGGAGGCAGCAGUAGGGAAUCUUCCGCAAUGGGCGAAAGCCUGACGGAGCAACGCCGCGUGAGUGAUGAAGAUCUUCGGAUCGUAAAACUCUGUUAUUAGGGAAGAACAUAUGUGUAAGUAACUGUGCACAUCUUGACGGUACCUAAUCAGAAAGCCACGGCUAACUACGUG
rnacentral:rRNA from 1 species